GUUGUCGUGGCCGAGUGGUUCAGAUUUGAAAUCUUUUGGGAUCUUCUCGCGCAGGUUCGAAUCCUGCCGACAACG
rnacentral:tRNA from 1 species